rnacentral:rRNA from 1 species
GAUGAACGCUGGCGGCGUGCUUAACACAUGCAAGUCGAACGAAGCUCCUAAACCUGAGAUUCGUCAAGGGGGCAGGAUGACUUAGUGGCGGACGGGUGAGUAAUGCGUGAGCAACCUGCCCUUCAGAGGGGGACAACAGUUGGAAACGACUGCUAAUACCGCAUAAAGUAUUCGGAUGGCAUCAUCUGAAUACCAAAGAUUUAUCGCUGAAGGAUGGGCUCACGUCUGAUUAGCUAGUUGGUAGGGCAACGGCCUACCAAGGCUUCGAUCGGUAGCCGGACUGAGAGGUUGGCCGGCCACAUUGGGACUGAGAUACGGCCCAGACUCCUACGGGAGGCAGCAGUGGGGAAUAUUGGGCAAUGGGCGAAAGCCUGACCCAGCAACGCCGCGUGAAGGAAGAAGGCUUUCGGGUUGUAAACUUCUUUUGGCAGGGACGAAACAAAUGACGGUACCUGCAGAAUAAGCUCCGGCUAACUACGUGCCAGCAGCCGCGGUAAAACG